rnacentral:rRNA from 1 species
UACGUAGGGUGCAAGCGUUAAUCGGAAUUACUGGGCGUAAAGCGUGCGCAGGCGGUUUUGUAAGUCUGUCGUGAAAUCCCCGGGCUCAACCUGGGAAUUGCGUUGGAGACUGCAAGGCUAGAAUCUGGCAGAGGGGGGUAGAAUUCCACGUGUAGCAGUGAAAUGCGUAGAGAUGUGGAGGAACACCGAUGGCGAAGGCAGCCCCCUGGGUCAAGAUUGACGCUCAUGCACGAAAGCGUGGGGAGCGAACAGG